AACGUAGGUGGCAAGCGUUAUCCGGAUUUACUGGGCGUAAAGGGUGUGCAGGCGGGAUGACAAGUGGUGUAUGAAAUCUCCCAGCUUAACUGGGAUAGGUUAUGCCAGACUGUCAUUCUAGAGUGCGAGAGAGGGGCGUGGAAUUCCGGGUGUAGUGGUGAAAUGCGUAGAGAUCCGGAGGAACCCCAGAGGCGAAGGCGGCGCCCUGGCUCGCAACUGACGCUCAGACACGACAGCAUGGGGAGCGAACGGG
rnacentral:rRNA from 1 species